GAUGAACGCUGGCGGCGUGCCUAAUACAUGCAAGUCGAACGCUGAAGGAGGAGCUUGCUCCUCUGGAUGAUUUGCGAACGGGUGAGUAACGCGUAGGUAACCUGCCCGGUAGCGGGGGAUAACUAUUGGAAACGCUAGCUAAUACCGCAUAACAGUAGUUGAUGCAUGAGAUUUACUAAAAAGGUGCAAUUUCAUUACUACUAGAUGGAGCUGCGUUGUAUUAGCUAGUUGGUGGGGUAAACGCUCAACAAGGCGACGAUACAUAGGCGGCCUGAGGAGGGGGACGGGCAACACGGGACUGGAAACAGGCCCAAGAUCCCUACGGAAGCCACCGGAGGGGAACUUCGGGAAUUGAGGGAAGUCUGAACGAGGCAAGGCGGGGGAAUGGAGGAAGGUCUCCGGACCGAAAGAUCCGGUGUUUGGGAAGAAAGAAAGUGGGAGUGAAAAGUUCACACUGUGACGGUACCUAAUCAGAAAGCGACGGCUAACUACGUG
rnacentral:rRNA from 1 species